UUAACUAUUAUGUAAUACUCGGACAAUACAAAUCAAGAGUUUAGGGUCCUCUGGCAGGCACUGACCAGCUGAUGCCGGUAGUCAAAAGACAGGCCUGCCAAAGCAACAAAGGUAUAGUAAACAAAGGGUGGAGAUCUACCCCAAGGGGCAAGUUCUCUGUAAUGAUCCUUCCGCAGCAGAAGUAUAGCUGCAAUUUCUAGCAGCCUCCCGAUCAUAUCUUAACCCUACCUGGGCCACCUCCAUUUGACCUGUGGGCCUAUUGCUAGGCUGCUGGUAUUACAAAUGUAAAUCCCAGCACAGUGGAGAUGUUGCCUGCUAAUACAGACUUUCUAUUCUGGUGAACCUGGAAGAGAUGUUCACCUACGGAAA
rnacentral:misc_RNA from 1 species